rnacentral:rRNA from 1 species
UACGUAGGGGGCUAGCGUUGUCCGGAUUUAUUGGGCGUAAAGAGCUCGUAGGUGGUUCGGUAAGUCGGAUGUGAAAUCUCCAGGCUCAACCUGGAGGGGUCAUUCGAUACUGCCGCGACUAGAGUUCGGUAGAGGAGUGUGGAAUUCCUGGUGUAGCGGUGAAAUGCGUAGAGAUCAGGAAGAACAUCGGUGGCGAAGGCGCUCUGCUGGACCAUAACUGACACUCAGGGACGAAAGCUAGGGGAGCGAAUGGG